rnacentral:lncRNA from 1 species
UCGCGAGUUGCUUGAAUCCGAGCCAGAACUGCGUCAAAAUGCCUAAACGCAAACCUCCAAAGACCACUGCAAUGAUAUAACUUUCACGAGCAAACAAAAAGUCAUUAACAAUGCGAAAGACGACACUUUUAUCAUAAGGUCCAGCAACGGAUCUAUAAAGGCCACGAGCAAUCGUUGCUGGAUAUGUAAUGUCAAGCUGUUGUGAACGUCAUUUGCGUUUUGACGGGUUCAGACAUUUUGUCGGAAAUGUCACGACAGAGGGUUUUGAUGGUGGCGCGGAAGGCGUAACGAUUUCCAGGUGGUUUCACCGGCGGAUAUUUGAUGUUGAUGGCGGAUUUUUGAGGGUGGAUCGGUUUUUAUUGGUCGUUUUGGGGUUGAGGUUUCGGUGGUGUUUGGGUGGCGCACAGUAGAGACGCGGAGGUUGUGUGAAUCAGAGAAGAACGGCGAAUGGGUUUGUGAGGUGAUUUUCGGCGAUGGUUUUGUUAAUUCGCGGGUGGAACGAAGGUGAAGAUGGAGUGAGGGUUUUCGGUGGAGAUUUUGAACAGUGGAGGGUUGAGCGGAUCGUUGGAGAUGAUUAAUGGUGAUGGUGAGUUUUCUGUUUGGUGAUGGGUUUCGGACGGUGGAUUGUGGUUGAAACGUGAAGAAGGUUUGAAGCGUGGCGGUGAUGGUGGUUUCGGUUGGUCUAGGUGAUGGAGUGAGGCGAGCGGCGAUUGAAGGUGAUGAAGAUGGAUGAUGAAAUAGUGGGUAGGCGUGGUUUAGGUGAGAGAAACGUGAGGGAAUGUGAGUGGAUCGUGUCGGAUUUUUGUUUUUUCUGCUGAGUGUGAGAGGAUAAGAAGAAAAAUCUUUUUUCCAUUUUGUUUUCUUUUUCAGAGAGAUAAUGGGAAGAGAGAUUUGUGAGGGAGUGUGAGAUAUUUGUGAGAUAACAGCUGGCAGACCGUUGGGAGAGUUUUUUUAUUUUUUCUUUUUUUGUUUUUUAUGUAAGGAGGGAAUCCAAUGCACACAAUUUUUUUAUAAUUAUUAUUUACUUAAAUAACAAAUCAUAAAAAGACUAACUAAUAUUUAAUUCAAACACAUUCUAAUUAUUUUAAUUAAAUAUCUAACCAAAAAUAUUGACCCAUUAAAAAUAGAAAAAUGAGUAUGGAUUUG